rnacentral:rRNA from 1 species
GACGAACGCUGGCGGCGUGCCUAAUACAUGCAAGUCGAACGCUGAAGGAGGAGCUUGCUUCUCCGGAUGAGUUGCGAACGGGUGAGUAACGCGUAGGUAACCUGCCUGGUAGCGGGGGAUAACUAUUGGAAACGAUAGCUAAUACCGCAUAACAGUAGAUGUUGCAUGACAUUUGCUUAAAAGGUGCAAUUGACUCACUACCAGAUGGACCUGCGUUGUAUUAGCAAGUUGGUGAGGUAACGGCUCACCAAGGCGACGAUACAUAGCCGGCCUGCGAGGGGGAUCGGCCACACUGGGACGGGGACACGGCCCAGACCCCUACGGGAGGGAGCAGUAGGGAAUCUUCGGCAAAGGAAGGAAGUCUGACCGAGGAACGCCGGGGGAGUGAAGAAGGUUUUCGGAUCGUAAAGCUCUGUUAUAUGAGAAGAACGAGUGUGAGAGUGGAAAGUUCACAUUGUGACGGUACCUUAACAGAAAGGGACGGCUAACUACGUG